UACGGAGGGUGCAAGCGUUGUUCGGAAUUACUAGGCGUAAAGCGCGCGCAGGCGGAUGUUCAAGUCAGAAGUGAAAUCUCGCAGCUCAACUGCGAGGCUGCUUCUGAGACUGUACGUCUGGAGACUGGUAGAGGCUGGUAGAAUUCCCGGUGUAGCGGUGGAAUGCGUAGAUAUCGGGAAGAAUACCCGUGGCGAAGGCGGCCAGCUGGGCCAGAUCUGACGCUGAGGCGCGAAAGCGUGGGGAGCGAACAGG
rnacentral:rRNA from 1 species